AACCCAUGGUGAGGGCACUAUCUCAGUAAGUCUUUAUACCUCUCCCAUUCAUCAUAUAACGUUUCUAAAUCGAUUUGCACAAAGAAAGAGAUGCCAUUCCUUAACUU
rfam:Gossypium arboreum cultivar AKA8401 contig_33840_1, whole genome shotgun sequence.